GUGCUCGCUUCAGCAGCACAUAGAUUAAAAUUGGAACAAUACAGAAAAGAUCAGCAUGACCCCUGUGCAAGAAUGACACAAAAAUUUGGGAAGUGUUUCAUAUUUUA
ensembl:snRNA U6 U6 spliceosomal RNA